rnacentral:rRNA from 1 species
GACGAACGCUGGCGGCGUGCUUAACACAUGCAAGUCGAGCGAGCAGAUUCCCUUCGGGGAUGAAGCUAGCGGCGGACGGGUGAGUAACACGUGGGCAACCUGCCUUAUAGAGGGGGAUAGCCUUCCGAAAGGAAGAUUAAUACCGCAUAACAUCAGAUUAUCGCAUGGUAGACUGAUCAAAGGAGCAAUCCGCUAUAAGAUGGGACCGCGUCGCAUUAGCUAGUUGGUGAGGUAACGGCUCAACAAGGCGACGAUGCGUAGCCGACCUGAGUAGGUGAUCGGCCACAUUGGGACUGCGACACGGCCCAGACUCCUACGGGAGGCAGCGGUGGGGAAUAUUGCACAAUGGGGGAAACCCUGAUGCAGCAACGCCGCGUGAGUGAUGAAGGCCUUCGGGUUGUAAAGCUCUUUGAUCAGGGACGAUAAUGACGGUACCUGAAGAACAAGCCACGGCUAACUACGUGCCAGCCGCCGCAGUAA